rnacentral:lncRNA from 1 species
AUGAGACCUGACCUGCAGAGCAAGCAAUGCAGCGCUGAAAAAACUCUUCACUUCAUCCUGGGACACGGAUGGAUCUCAUCAACACAUGUCCAGAUGCAGUAUUGCUGGCGGUCUCUCGUGGAGGCGCAUGUGCUUGAGGAGCAGAUAAUGAGAGCCGAGGAAACGCGUGACAUGUGCAGCCGUCGUCUGACUGCGAGAGACAUAAAUACAGCCAAACAUGCUGAGAAAAUCACUCCUGCCUCUCACACACACUCCAGAACCAGCGUCCAAACACGGACAAAACAUCCUCGCCAAGAAUUCACAGAGAGUGCUACUACACUUUUACACUUUACGAGAAAAUGUGGAGGUGUGUGUCUGUGAUGUGUCUGAGCUUCUGUUACAGUGUUAUAGUUUUAUCUCCUGAAUUAUGACAUGAAUCGUUUUACAAAUCUAAAACCCAGAACGCAAUGCAGACAGCAGAUAACGGUGUUUGCCAAAAACAACAGCUUUAAAAAAAGAGCCUAAAUCAUUUGUAAUCAUAUUUGUGGUGCUGUGAUUUAUGGAAAGAGAAACUGAAGAGACCCGCGUUACAACAGAGCAUCACAACGAAACACACACAGAGAAAAUAACAUAUGGAUAAAGAUAUAAACUCAAUUCUGAGGAACAAAAUCUGAACUGGGAGAUAUAAACUCUGAACAUAUAAACAGAAUUCUGAGAAAAAAAGUCACAGUUUGGUCAAAGAUGAAAAAGGGUUUAAGCAUAAAAACGAUAAGUGUAAUACUGCUUUAAACUGUUGCUGUUUUUUCUCCCAAAUUUAAAAAGUUUUCUGUUUAAUUAAAUUGCAAUGUUGUUAUUGUUUUUCUGAGCAAAAAAUAAAUAUCAUACAUUUUUCCCUGAUUUACAGAAGACACACACUAAAAUGUCAUUCAGUCUAACAAUCUUAUCAGGCAUAUUUACAACAAAAAUCAAUUUAUGACAUAUUAAAAGACUAAUUACUUUCACCCCAAAUACUAAUUAGUAAAAUUUACCACUAUCCUUGGUUUUGCCAAUUGGUCAGUAAGAAUCUUUUACUCAUUUAAAACACGAUAAAAUGAAUAUGCUCACUUAUUCUUUUAUAUAUUUUAAUAUGUACAAUAAUGAAUAAGCAUGCUGUUUGAAUUUUUACAUAAAUAUUGUGUUACACUGAAUGGCAACGUAACAUUAUUUCAACCAAAUUUUAAAAACUUAUUUGAAAUCUUAAAAGUAGACACUUUGCUUACAUUUAAUGUGCUUUCUAUGGACAUAAAAUCAUUUUGUACAUUUUUUUGAUGCGGACAUCUUAACGUCUUUGACCUAAUUACUUUCUUUUUUUUUAAUUCCGUGGCAGAAACCGCCUUCCAAAGAAUUAUGAUUACAUGUUUGAAUUUUGUAUAGUUAUUUUAAUAAAUCCCUCCAUUUAAAUUGAGUACAGCAGUUAAUUUCUUGCAGGAGGGAAAAAUUAAUGAUGUGGGUAAAUUAAAAUUAUGCAUAUUUUAUUACUAAUAUUAAUAAUAUCUGUUUUAUUAAUAUUACUAUGAAUGCAAUAUUAUCAUUACUGCUAUAUAUAUUAAUUGGUGAGUUAUUAAUCACCAAUUGCAAGAUAAUAAUAACAAUGAUGAGCGUCUGUAGUACUAGAUAAUGUCGAGUGAAUGAAUCUUCUGCAGUCAGCAGUGACGGAGGACGGUGUGAGAACCCCGAAUCCCUGAAUACUGGAUCACACACGCAGUAAAAACUAAGAAAAAAGGACAUUUUGUUUUUAACAUACAACAGCACGUCGAGGCUCAUUAGAAGAAGCAUGCAAACACUGGUGCCGAGGGUCUCGAACGAAUGCGGCACAAUCUCACAUUCACACUGUCAGCGUCAAUAACAUCACACACAGCAGACCACAAUAAACACACAUUUACACAUGAUGAAAAUACGGGACCACUUCACAAAAACACAUGACGGUUGUAUGUAUUCAGAGCUGAGAGAAAACCUCAACAACUCCAUGAAAAUCUUCCCUCAAAUGACUAAUCAAUAUGAGAUGUAGAAACACAGACUGUUGCCAGAUGCCAAGAAAACCUCCCUAAAAUGUGUCCUGCAUACUAGAUGUUUGCUUCAAACUGCAAUGUGAAGAAUAAAACUGGAAUCUAUGGUCUAAUUUGGACCAGUGACAGACUGGAUCUCACCAGGAGCAUUGUGGGAGAAAGCCAGCGGACUGUUGGAGAUUCACACCCAGCUGCUUCACUCUGUUUAAAUGAUGAUUUAAAUGCAGCUAUGAUCGCUGGUCACUUCAUAUUAAGGCUGUAAACAAGACACACUUUGAGAAGACUUGAGUGAAGGUAAUACUUACUAGAGUACUUCAAUAAAUGCUGAUACUUACAGAGCAGGUUGUGAAUGAUUGCUAUGUUUUAUUUUAUGAUCUUUACAGGUCUACAAAUGAACUCUGUAUCGUGCAUGAGCUGGAAGCAUGAAGCACUGUAUAGACUUGUAGAAUAACAUUCAAUUCUCACUUUCAAUUCAGAAAAACUGAUUUAAAUACAAGUUUAAGACAAAUUCAGCACUUAUUAGACAUGCACAGAUGGCCUUCCUGAAUCUAUGAAAUGUAUUUAUCAUUCAAAUGAUAUUCUGAACAGCAUAUUAUGC